rnacentral:rRNA from 1 species
GACGAACGCUGGCGGCGUGCCUAAUACAUGCAAGUCGAGCGCUGAAGAGAGGAGCUUGCUCUUCUUGGAUUAGUUGCGAACGGGUGAGUAACGCGUAGGUAACCUACCUUUUAGCGGGGGAUAACUAUUGGAAACGAUAGCUAAUACCGCAUAACAUUUGAUGACACAUGUUAUUUAUUUGAAAGGGGCAAUUGCUCCACUACAAGAUGGAACUCCGUUGUAUUAGCUAGUAUGUGAGGUAAUGGCUCACCUACGGGAGCAUACAUAACCGACCCGAGAGGGGGGACGGCCCACAUGGGAAGGGAGAAAGGGCCCGAACCCUUAGGGAGGGAGCAGGAGGGGAAUCUUGGGCAAGGGGGGAACGCUGAACGAGGCACGCCGGGUGGGUGGAUGAGGGUCUCGGGUCGUAAAAAUCUGUUGUAAGUGAAGGAAGGAUGGGAGAGUGGAAAGUGCACAUUGUGACGGUACCUUAACAGAAAGCCACGGCUAACUACGUG